UACGUAGGUGGCAAGCGUUAUCCGGAUUUAUUGGGCGUAAAGGGAACGCAGGCGGUCUUUUAAGUCUGAUGUGAAAGCCUUCGGCUUAACCGGAGUAGUGCAUUGGAAACUGGGAGACUUGAGUGCAGAAGAGGAGAGUGGAACUCCAUGUGUAGCGGUGAAAUGCGUAGAUAUAUGGAAGAACACCAGUGGCGAAAGCGGCUCUCUGGUCUGUAACUGACGUUGAGGCUCGAAAGCGUGGGGAGCGAACAGG
rnacentral:rRNA from 1 species